rnacentral:rRNA from 1 species
UACGGGGGGGGCAAGCGUUGUUCGGAAUUACUGGGCGUAAAGGGCUCGUAGGCGGCCAACUAAGUCGGAUGUGAAAUCCCCAGGCUUAACCUGGGAACUGCAUCCGAUACUGGAUGGCUUGAAUCCGGGAGAGGGAUGCAGAAUUCCAGGUGUAGCGGUGAAAUGCGUAGAUAUCUGGAGGAACACCGGUGGCGAAGGCGGCAUCCUGGACCGGUAUUGACGCUGAGGCGCGAAAGCUAGGGGAGCAAACAGG